CUACCAACCUCUCAGUGUAAGUGUAUCCUCUUAAAAUGUCUGUUUGUGGCCAAUUCUUGGCUUCAACGCAUAAAUGUUCUUUGACUGAUCAGCUGUUUGGGUCUGCAGGCUUCAGGAGAGAUGAAAAUCCAUCCACACUAAAAAAAGGAGUCCUUCUGACAGUGAUGAUGACACGAGAAGACACCUUUAUCAACCAGAGUCUACAAAAGAACGAGACUUGAUGAUCCCGAAUAGAGAUAUCCUGUGUUACUUGGUAGUACGAUGUUUAAACUUGCUAAUGACAGCAACUCUGGAUCUCUCUGAAUCAAAGGUAACCAGCACCUCACAUGCAGCUGCAGUCUGCAUCACGCACUAGCCAGUUCCUGCCCUCUCCACUUUCUUCAGUUUUCACAAGUUCAACCAGAAAACCAGAAAAGAUGAAUGGAAGAGCGUCUUCGGAGUAAGUGUUUAGCUCUCUGUAUUUUUUACAGCAUAACAACUCAACCCACAGUCCACAGGAUCAAAACUGAAACCACAAACUCUACACUCAUGUGACUUUAAACGUUUAAAAUUUCUGCAUCCCAAUUUGACAUUUUCGAUACCAAACUCCACAAUGUUAGCAAUCCACAGGUAAUUACUAACAGUCUGCCUGACAGCAAUGCAGAGCGCUGAAAAAUUCCC